AUUGAACGCUGGCGGCAUGCCUUACACAUGCAAGUCGAACGGCAGCACGGGGGCAACCCUGGUGGCGAGUGGCGAACGGGUGAGUAAUGCAUCGGAACGUGCCCAGUAGUGGGGGAUAACUAGUCGAAAGAUUAGCUAAUACCGCAUACGACCUAUGGGUGAAAGCGGGGGAUGCAGCACUUAAUGUUUUGGGAUGGCUACUUGUGGCCGCCUCGGGACAGUCNCAGGUUGAGAACAUUAAGUGCUGCACCUCGCGCUAUUGGAGCGGCCGAUGUCUGAUUAGCUAGUUGGCGGGUAAAGCCCACCAAGGCGACGAUCAGUAGCUGGUCUGAGAGGACGACCAGCCACACUGGGACUGAGACA
rnacentral:rRNA from 1 species